GACGAACCGUGCGAACGUUGUUCGGAAUCACUGGGCUUAAAGGGCGCGUAGGCGGCUCCGAAAGUCCGGGGUGAAAGCCCCCAGCUCAACUGGGGAAGUGCCUCGGAUACUGCGGAGCUCGAGGGAGGUAGGGGCGGAUGGAACUUCCGGUGGAGCGGUGAAAUGCGUUGAUAUCGGAAGGAACGCCGGUGGCGAAAGCGAUCCGCUGGCCCUCUACUGACGCUGAGGCGCGAAAGCCAGGGGAGCAAACGGG
rnacentral:rRNA from 1 species